rfam:Pongo abelii chromosome 2a.
GGGAAACAGGCAGAGGGGCCAGCCCCGGGCCCUGAUACAAUACGGGGCA